UACGAAGGGGGGCGAGCGUUGUUCGGAUUUACUGGGCGUAAAGGGGCGCGUAGGCGGCGGGUCAAGUCGAGUGUGAAAGCCCCGGGGCUCAACCUGGGAAUUGCGCUCGAGACUGGUCUGCUUGAGUUCGGGAGAGGAGAGUGGAAUUCCCAGUGUAGAGGUGAAAUUCGUAGAUAUUGGGAAGAACACCGGUGGCGAAGGCGGCUCCUCUGGACCGAGACGUGACGCUGAGGCGCGAAAGCGUGGGGAGCAAACAGGG
rnacentral:rRNA from 1 species